UCCUUGGUGGUCUAGCGGUUAAGCCUCUGUGCUCCCAACGCAGGGGUAUGGGUUAAAUCCUUGUCAAGGAA
rnacentral:tRNA from 1 species